CCUUGAUAUUGUUUUCUUUGUCCGUACUGAAUCCAUCAACAAAGCUAUGAUGUCGCUCAUGGAGAAAUUCAUUUACAAUUAAUUCAUUCUCUGUUAUCAACUUUAUAGUAGGACCAAAAUGGCCAUCAAAAUGGCUGCUGAUUGUUGCAGAGGAACUAAAUCCUUUGGAUGAGGAAGCAACAUCAUCUCUGAACAAGGAGCGAACUACAUGGUUUGGCUUCUCA
rnacentral:misc_RNA from 1 species